CCAUCAUCCAGGGACUCACAGAUCCCAGACUGUGUUUGGCAUUUGUAGUCUGUGAUGCCUCCUCAUACUUGUCAUUACUAAGAAUAGGCCCAACAUGGAGCCUUCAUGUUUUACCUGUAGGCAAGGUGAAACGAAGACCUGUGCAAAUGUACUGGAGCUGUAGUUGAGACCAGAAGCAUGCCUAUUAAUUGGAAUUUAGCAGCCAUCCACCUUGUCCACUAUGCCUUAUGCUGCCUAAAGAGAGGUCAAAGUUGCCAAAGAAGCAAUUUGCAUAGUGUUACUACUAUAAUUUUUAUUCAAAUGCUAUUUUAAAAGCAUACACAGUAACAGAGGUUUAGCUGGUAGUUAGUGAUUAAAAUAGCAUUAUGAUUUUAUUUGGUAAGUUAUUCAAGAAG